AAAAACAUUUUAAUUUUUUUUUUUUACUAAUUAGAUUUCAAUUUCUCUUUACUAAGAUACUAAUACAUCCUCAGGGUUAUUAUUUCUUACACAGAAUUCCUCCUUACGAACUGCUCAAUAAAUGAGUGGAUAAAUAAAUUUUUCUGGAAUGAGAUGAAGAUAUUACAGGCCAGCUCACUUCCUCUACUUACCUGCCCUGAACAGAACAAACUCCCGAAAGCAGGUUAUCAGGCCUUAAUAUUUUCCCUGUCCAAUUUCCGAUUCUGAAAGACCGCACGUUAUUAUGGAAACCCAUUACCUUUAUAUAUCCCCCCCCCAUGGAACAACUUCAGAAAUAUCCAGAGCACAAAGUUAAGUGAACUGAAUUCGGAGCGACCUUGGUAUAUAAGCAGCGCCAAGUCAAACCACAUUUCCUAUUACAAAGAAAACCUAUGUCCAAUUCUCUGCAGGAGCGAGGAAACCACUUAGUUUCGCAACUGCUCAGGCAGUGCAAUGUACGCUCGUUUCCGAAAAGUCCCCCUCGUCCGUUGCCAAGUUCGAAUCGUGUGCGCGUUUCGAAGUGAAGUUGUGAAACGCAGGAAAAAUGUACAUGAAAAGGCAGCACAGAAGGCAUUCAAACAGCACAAAGCCCUCGUUUUACCAAAACCCUGCCAAAAAUGAUAAGGUAGACUGAAAUUUUUUUUUAAAAACCACUCAUGUAGAUCUCGAACCUCGUUCUCUGCAGGAAAGAGUAAACAAACGCACACUUCUGCAAAAACACUCCCGGGUAUCGUUGUGAGGAUUUUUUUCCAGCUUGAAAUACAGAACAGCCUUUUGUGUGUGUGUGUGUGUGUGUGAGGGAGAGUGAGAGUGAGAGAGAGUGUGUGUGUGUGUGUGUGUGUGUGUGUGUGUGUGCGGUGCAUCCAGGCAACUUUAGCCGAGCGAGGGACAGAACAGGAGAGUUGUACUCACUGUAGUGGAUAAGAGUAGCCAGCCACGGACAAGGGAAAAGAAUCCGCUUUCUCGUCCUGAUCCAUUCUGUAUUUCAGAGCGGUUUAAAAAAAAUAAAAAAUACAAAGAAAGAAAGAAAGAAAGAAAGAAAGAACAUCUCUCUCCUGGAUGGAGCUGCUGAAGCGAGGCCCCUUGUUCCCUCGCUCCCUUGCUGUCAGGGUUGGGAAACCGGCUUCUGUGUGCCGUGCAGCUGUGUGCUUCUCCAGCACCACCAUCCUCCUCCUCCUCCUCCUCCUCCUCCUCCCUCGCUCCCUCCUUCCUUACUCGGGUCCCAAUACAAUGCACUUCUGUACCACGGUGCUGCGAACAUGGCCGAAACGUUGGAUGUUUCCUACUGAAAAACGUACCGUGGUGCGCAAGCAGAGCUCGAGAUAUGUUUUUAAAAUAUAGAAAUAUAUAAAAAGCAAGUGCGAGGAGAAACCUUCGGGCACUGCCUGGUGGCGAGAAGAGCAGGUUUAAGUUUGUGGCGCACCGCUUUCCCCCUCCUGCUCGUUUUGUGGAAUCGCUGCUUUUUUCGGCGGUGGGAGGGGACAAGGCCGAAGCUCCCGGGCUGAGGAAACUGCGCAUAAUCCCUACCGGCAGAAACUUCCUCCCCGGCGCUGGUAACAAGCGCCGCAUGGAC
ensembl:lncRNA